GAUGAACGCUGGCGGCGUGCCUAAUACAUGCAAGUCGAGCGAACAGACGAGGAGCUUGCUCCUCUGACGUUAGCGGCGGACGGGUGAGUAACACGUGGAUAACCUACCUAUAAGACUGGGAUAACUUCGGGAAACCGGAGCUAAUACCGGAUAAUAUAUUGAACCGCAUGGUUCAAUAGUGAAAGACGGUUUUGCUGUCACUUAUAGAUGGAUCCGCGCCGCAUUAGCUAGUUGGUAAGGUAACGGCUUACCAAGGCAACGAUGCGUAGCCGACCUGAGAGGGUGAUCCGGCCAACUUGAAAUUGGAACCCGUCCCAGAUCCCAAGGGGGGGAGCAAGAGGGAAAUCUUCCGAAAGGGGGGAAGGCCUGAGGAGGAAACGCGGGGGGGGGAUUAAGGUUCUUCGAUUCGUAAACCCCUUUAUUAGGGAAGAACAAAUGUGUAAGUAACUAUGCACGUCUUGACGGUACCUAAUCAGAAAGCCACGGCUAACUACGUG
rnacentral:rRNA from 1 species